GACGAACGCUGGCGGCGUGCUUAACACAUGCAAGUCGAACGGAAAGACCCUGCUUUUGUGGGGUGCUCGAGUGGCGAACGGGUGAGUAACACGUGUGUAACCUCCCCUUGUCUUUGGGAUAACAUCAGGAAGCUGGGGCUAAUAUCGGAUAUGAGCUCUUGCUGCAUGGUGGGGGAUGGAAAGUUUCGGCUGUUGUGGAUGGACUCGCGGCUUAUCCGCUUCUUGGUGGGGUAGUGGCUUACCAAGGGUUCGACGGGUAGCCGGCCUGAGAGGGGGACCGGCCUCAUUGGGACUGAGAUACGGCGCAGACGCCUACGGGAGGCAGCAGUGGGGAAUAUUGCACAAUGAGGGGGAGCGUGAGGUAGCGACGCCGCGUGCGGGAAGACGGCCUUCGGGUUAUAAACCGCUUUCGCCGGUGACGAAGCGGGAGUGACGGUAAUGGGUAAAGAAGCACCGGCUAACUACGUG
rnacentral:rRNA from 1 species